GGGGAGGGUGUCUGUGCUGUUUUAGCACUGAGAAGAAAAGUUCUCCUAGGUUGGUUCAGUGUACUAAGGAGGUCUUAACAGAAAAUCUUCAAAAAAACCCUAAAGCCCUACAUGUUUCAGCCUCCUGAAGUUCUCUGGGUGCCUGUCGAUUCAACUCCUCACAAACCCUGCUAGGAACAAGCACUGAACUCAUUAAGAAAACAUACAGGAGCUAGCGCGCGCCUUCCUCAUCAGGGAUUUGUCUGCAUGAAAACGGGCAAAAGAUGCCUUGCAGCAAUUACGCCAACUAAGUAUAUGUAAAAACCUACCAAGAAGAGAGUGGAUCCAGCAGCCAGAAAUUAGCUAAGAAGGAAAAUCUCCCCCUUCUCAUGCUGGUGGGAGAACAGAAUUAUUGGUAGACUUUGCUUUUCACUUCCGCUGCUGCUAUCUCAGAAGGAAAUUGUUCACCUAAUUUCCCUCUACGGAUUCGGGAUGUUGGAGUCUGCUAGAUGGUUUUUGUGCUACAAAUCAUUAGGAAUGCGUGGGCAAAUUCUGCCCCGAUCUAUACACAUGCAAUCUAUUUGACUUGAGUGAGGCUGCACCCAGUUAAGGACUUCAUCAUAUGCUCAACAAAGUCAAUCAUAAAGCUUCUACUGGCUUCAGCUGUGCAGGAUCAGGCCCUAAUGGGGAGCAGAAUGCACGAUGUUAUCAUUUUAAAAUUAUUAGCUUCCAUAUGUUCCCAGAUUUGUGGGUAUUUAAAAUGACUGUUUGAGGCAUGCAUGACUUUUUGAAAUUCUGUUCAAAAGGAUUUGUUACUUUUGAAUAUUAACAAUCUGGAGGAUUUUUAGAUGAAAUUGUUAGGCUGUUGUGGCUUUUUUUUUUUUUCCUUUGUGCUUAAUUGUAUGCACGUGAUUGGUUUCAUUGACUGCUUUGGAGGGGUGCGAAAAGAUUUGUCUGAAAAAGUGUUCUGUAUGAAGUCACAAGGGGGAAAUGAAAAGAAUGCCUACAAAUCUGUUAAAAAAAAUAAAAUCGCCCAAGUGUGUGGUAUCAAUUUUCAGGGAAGAAAAAAAAAGGGUGUUUGCAAGAGCCCAUAAUGCAGUCCUAAGUAAGUCUUCACUGCCAGUUUGAAAGAAGAAUUUGUUUGGGGGAAAGUGGAGCCAAAGCACCUGCUGAAAAAGGAGCUUGCCUUUGGGUAAGGGGGGUGCUGCUGCUUUCCUACCCUCCAGAAGCAGAGGGGAGGUGUGAGGGUUACAAAGCAGUCAGAAAUCUCCUCCUGAGCAGUAGGACAGCUGUACCGAGAUAUAUAGUUAUUAUAGACAUAUAUAUAGCAAAUAAACCUGACUGGAAUCAGGACA